UGUAACUACAAGUUAUGGUGUCAUGUCAUGAAAGGCAAAAUUGCAUCAAUUUUAAGAGGUUUUUUAUGAUUGAUAUCAAAAUCACUAACGAGAUAAUGACUACUGACGGUGGUAAUGUGUUUACUCCUAACAUGUGGGUUCAAAAAUGCUAACGACCCCAAAAAUGUUUUGAAAGGACAACUUUAAGUAGUGAAGAUUAUAGCUAUUUUGACUGUCCACGAAAUCACUUUGAGUGUGAGAAAAGAUGCACCACUGAACGACUAAUAUCUGAAAGAUGGCUAGAUAAUCUAGUUAAUGCUCAAUAAGUAACGUGUUUCUGAAUAUAUAAAAAUGUUGGAAUCUCUGAAAAUCCACACUUUUAUGUGAAUGCGGAUCAAAACAUCAUCACUAGCUUAGGAAGUUCUAAUAUCUACUAUGUGGUGAGUUUGAGUACGUGACACCUUCAGAGUUCCCAAUAGCUAGUCUUUAGAUGUUGACAUGUCCAAGAUUAUUAAGUUGGAACAUUAAGGCAAGGUUCGAGUAGCGCCAAGUCCAUCCUUUUGAAUGUUGGAACUACCACGCCGGUGUUAUUAUCUGUGAGUAUGCUCUAUGUCCAUGAAUGCGAGUGGUUCUAUUUUUGUAUUGACACUUCCAAGUCACUAAAUCCAUGGUUACUUUUGCCAGAUUUAUCUCUAUUCUCCAAGUAGUACCCCUUCGUCGACUUUUUCUCAAACAUAUUUGUUCUCUCCAAGUAAUAUUCCUUCAUUUCUCUGGGCAAGUUCGUUCAAUAUGAGGAUAGCGUUGAUACAAAGAGACUGAGUCAUAGUUGAGCUCUAAGAGGAAAAAACCUAUGGCCAAAAUGCAGGAAUAGGAAACGACAAAGGAUUGGAAUGUCAUGCAUAUUUGAAUCAUACAAAAUUGUUGAUUGUGUAACUGCCUAGUAGGAAAAACAAAUAAAUCUUUCAAAGAGGUUGGGGUGGAUGUUAGAAUUCCUAUGAAUUAUAAUGGAAAUGGAUCCUUAGGAAAAGUUUCGAUGGGAAUCGAACAAUGGGAAUGGAAUAUACUAGAAGAGUUGAGCGCGCUUGGUGUUAUUGAGUUUUCAUAAUAUAUUUACUCCCUCUAUUUCAAAAUUUUGGAUGCAUUUGUUUUUUGAAAAGCCAAACCUCUUUAAUUUUAAUUAAAUUUAUAAAGAAAUAUAUCAAUAUCGAUAAUAUCAAACCGGUGUCAUUCGUUUCAUCAUGAGAUGAAUUUCAUAUUUUAUUUAUUUAAUAUUAUGGAUGUCGAUAUUUUUCGCUCUAAACUUGGUCAAUGUUAAAGGAAUUUCUCUUUUCAAAAGAUAAUACACCUUAUAUUUUGGAACCGACGGAGUAUUUCGUUUGGCAAGUUAGAGAAAUGAUGGAGUGUGUUUUAUUUAAAUUUAUAAUGUGGUGUUUUUGGUGGGCCUUUUAUGGUGUGAUUGUGGGUUAUGUGCUAACCAACUCAUACUUAUAUGAAAAAAUCUACAUCAAUUGCUACAUGUACUAUAUAUCACAUGUUUGUGCUUCUUUUUCUAGGUGUCGAGAGGGCGCAUGGGGUUGAUAUGUUUUUAUAUGCUGGUUGUUGCCAAUUGAUUUGUAAAACCAUUGAACCGGUUAAAAUAUGAACUAAAUCUAGAAUCGAGUACCUUAAUGAAAUGGGAGAGCUUUAAUAUUAGAGUGUAGUGAAUUAAAAAGUAAAAUGAGAGAGCUCAUUAAGAAAUUGUUUACCUCGUCAAAAUUGAAUGACCAUAUUUAAAUUGAAGAUCUCAAUUGAUUAAGAGGCCUCUAAACUUAGACAACAUAAUGUAUUACACAUAUAGAUGAGUGACCCAAUUUCAUUUCCUUGAGAAAUUGUUGACACCAUAAAAAUUGGGUGACCAAAUUUUAAUUACAGACCUCAACUGAACGUGGGCUCUUCAGAACUAGGGAGAAUAGUGUUAUACACUAUGGGGAUAAAACCCUAUGGAUUCUAAUUCUCUAGUAUCCCUGUGAAGAUCCUUUGAAUCCAGAAAGCCCUUAAGACCUCUUUGAUCGUGGAACUAAAAAAAAUGCAAGAAUAGUAAAACACAUAGGAACAGAAUGUCAUUCUCACUCGAAUCCUACAAAAUUUGAGUUUGUUUAAUUGCAUCAUGGAAAAAACAACGGAAUUUUCGCAAAAACUUAGAGUGGAUGGUAGGUUUACUAUGGAAUGUAGUACAAACGAUUCCUUAGGAAACAAAUCCUAUAGGAUCCAAUUCCAUGAAUAAAAUGAUAAACAUAUAAUUUCUAAGGAUCUAGAUCCUUCAAAAAUCCUAUGGAAGUCCUUUGAAUAAAAAAUCCAUGGCAAUGUUCCCCGUUGGGUGAAGAUUAAAAGUUGCAACCCCCACAAGGAGGCUCGCCGGUUCAUGCUUUGUAUUAGGGCUAGUUUCUAGAUGAUAGUACCGUACUAGUACCAUUUAAUCUUCGGGUGGAUGUAAACUUUAUACGGACACAUAAAGUUUUCAUGCCUUGCAAGAGAUCUAAAAUAGGCUAAUAUAUGCUCAUAAACUCGGGAGCGACAUUUCUGCUCCCGGGAUCAUCUGCACCCCCGUUCAUGAAAAAUUCAACAAACCCUAAUUUUUGUGUGUGAUAGUAUAUGCCACUUAGAAUAUGUUAGCUUCGACCAACAAAAAUAUUACUCCACUUAUUUGACUUGAUGAGGUG
rnacentral:lncRNA from 1 species